GAACACAGCUGAGGGACAUGGGAGCUGUUGCAAGGUGGAAAGUGAGUUUCCAUUUUUGUUGAGAGAGAACUUUUAAAUUCAGAAAGAUCCAGCAUGGUUCACAGACUCUCUCAAACUCUGAAGCUGGUUCAGAAAAGAUAUUACCUCAGCCACCUUGUCUCUCUAAUAUCCUGCGACUGAUACAUCUACAACACUGUAUACAACUUUCAGCUUCAGGCUUAUCCAGUCUCAACUGUAUAAAGAAUGAAGCUCUGAAGUCCCUCUCAAACUGUCAAGUCAAACUGUCAAACAAAAUGUAGAUAACAGCAUCAACCUGAAAUCAAUAUGGUCUUCACUCUUGUAUCUGAAGACACAUUUUGUGCGUAGUAUCCAUCCCGGCUGGAAAAAAAAGGACAACCACUUGCAGAGGUUAAAGGAGGACACUAUAGUAUGAGUGUGCCAUGACAAGACACCUGGCUAGCAACUCCUGGCAUUAAAUGUAACAUGUAUGUUUUUACACAAUAGCAACAUUGCAGAGGAAAAGUAACAGCCAUUAAAAUGCUGAUGACCCAAGAGUAUUUAAAUAAAGCCUAAUAACUAUCUUUAUUUCCAUAAA